rnacentral:rRNA from 1 species
AUGAACGCUGGCGGCGUGCCUAAUCCAUGCAAGUCGAGCGCACAGACGAGGAGCUUGCUCCUCUGACGUUAGCGGCGGACGGGUGAGUAACACGUGGAUAACCUACCUAUAAGACUGGGAUAACUUCGGGAAACCGGAGCUAAUACCGGAUAAUAUAUUGAACCGCAUGGUUCAAUAGUGAAAGACGGUUUUGCUGUCACUUAUAGAUGGAUCCGCGCCGCAUUAGCUAGUUGGUAAGGUAACGGCUUACCAAGGCAACGAUGCGUAGCCGACCUGAGAGGGUGAUCGGCCACACUGGAACUGAGACACGGUCCAGACUCCUAAGGGAGGCAGCAGUAGGGAAUCUUCCGCAAUGGGCGAAAGCCUGACGGAGCAACGCCGCGUGAGUGAUGAAGGUCUUCGGAUCGUAAAACUCUGUUAUUAGGGAAGAACAAAUGUGUAAGUAACUAUGCACGUCUUGACGGUACCUAAUCAGAAAGCCACGGCUAACUACGUG